rnacentral:rRNA from 1 species
AGCUCAGUUCAGAUUGUAGGCUGAAACUCGCCUAUAUGAAGUCGGAAUUGCUAGUAAUCGCAGAUCAGCAUGCUGCGGUGAAUACGUUCCCGGGUCUUGUACACACCGCCCCGUCACACCACGGAAGUUGGGGGCGCCCGAAGCCACUUAGCUAACCCUUUUGGGAAGCGAGUGUCGAAGGUGAAAUCAAUAACUGGGGUGAAGUCGUAACAAGGUAAC